AUACGGAGGAUCCAAGCGUUAUCCGGAUUUAUUGGGUUUAAAGGGUGCGCAGGCGGCCUUAUAAGUCAGUGGUGAAAUCUCCCGGCUCAACCGGGAAACUGCCAUUGAUACUGUAGGGCUAGAAUACAGACGAGGUAGGCGGAAUGUAGCAUGUAGCGGUGAAAUGCUUAGAUAUGCUACAGAACACCGAUCGCGAAGGCAGCUUACCAGACUGUAAUUGACGCUAAGGCACGAAAGCGUGGGGAGCGAACAGGAUUAGAAACCCCUGUAGUCC
rnacentral:rRNA from 1 species